UUGACCGUACUAAGGUAGCAUAAUAAUUUGCCUUUUAAUUGGAGGCUAGUAUGAAUGGCUUGACGUGAAAUAUACUGUCUCAACUAUAUUUAGUAGAAUUUAACUUUUAGGUGAAGAGGCCUAAAUUUUGUGGGAAGACAAGAAGACCCUAUUGAGCUUUAAAUAUUUAUGUUAGUGGGAACCUAAGAUUUAUAUGAUGGUCAUUACUUCUAAGUAUGUUGGUUGGGGCGACCGAGGAGUAUAAAGUAACCUCCUUGUAAUGUAAAGAAUUUGUUAUCAACGAACCUGUAAUAUAGGUUAUUCGGUAGUUACCAUAGGGAUAACAGCGUAAUUCUUUUGAAGAGUUCCUAUCGAAGAAAGAGAUUGCGACCUCGAUGUUGGAUUAAGGUGUCCUAAGGG
rnacentral:rRNA from 1 species